AGCGAACGCUGGCGGCAGGCUUAACACAUGCAAGUCGAGCGGGCCCUUCGGGGUCAGCGGCGGACGGGUGAGUAACGCGUGGGAACGUGCCCUCUGGUUCGGAAUAACUCAGGGAAACUUGAGCUAAUACCGGAUACGCCCUUUUGGGGAAAGGCUUGCUGCCGGAGGAUCGGCCCGCGUCUGAUUAGCUAGUUGGUGGGGUAACGGCCUACCAAGGCGACGAUCAGUAGCUGGUCUGAGAGGAUGAUCAGCCACACUGGGACUGAGACACGGCCCAGACUCCUACGGGAGGCAGCAGUGGGGAAUAUUGGACAAUGGGGGCAACCCUGAUCCAGCCAUGCCGCGUGAGUGAUGAAGGCCUUAGGGUUGUAAAGCUCUUUUAUCYGGGACGAUAAUGACGGUACCGGAGGAAUAAGCCCCGGCUAACUUCGUGCCAGCAGCCGCGGUAAUACGAAGGGGGCUAGCGUUGCU
rnacentral:rRNA from 1 species